rnacentral:rRNA from 2 species
GGAGCCAAACAGGAUUAGAUACCCUGGUAGUCCCACGCCGUAAACGAUGUCGAUUUGGAGGGUUGUGCCCUUGAGGCGUGGCUUCCGGAGCUAACGCGUUAAAUCGACCGCCUGGGGAGUACGGCCCGCAAGGGUUAAAACUCAAAUGAAUUGACGGGGGGCCCCGCACAAGCGGUGGAGCAUGUGGUUUAAUUCGAUGCAACGCGAAGAACCUUACCUGGUCUUGACAUCCACAGAACUUUCCAGAGAUGGAUUGGUGCCUUCGGGAACUGUGAGACAGGUGCUGCAUGGCUGUCGUCAGCUCGUGUUGUGAAAUGUUGGGUUAAGUCCCGCAACGAGCGCAACCCUUAUCCUUUGUUGCCAGCGGUUAGGCCGGGAACUCAAAGGAGACUGCCAGUGAUAAACUGGAGGAAGGUGGGGAUGACGUCAAGUCAUCAUGGCCCUUACGACCAGGGCUACACACGUGCUACAAUGGCGCAUACAAAGAGAAGCGACCUCGCGAGAGCAAGCGGACCUCAUAAAGUGCGUCGUAGUCCGGAUUGGAGUCUGCAACUCGACUCCAUGAAGUCGGAAUCGCUAGUAAUCGUAGAUCAGAAUGCUACGGUGAAUACGUUCCCGGGCCUUGUACACACCGCCCGUCACACCAUGGGAGUGGGUUGCAAAAGAAGUAGGUAGCUUAACCUUCGGGAGGGCGCUUACCACUUUGUGAUUCAUGACUGGGG